CACAGAGGAAUAGAUGCCAGCACUCUGGGACUAUCUGAAAGAAGAUACUGAAUAUCAGAGCAGAGUAUUUUUAACCACCAGUCUUGUAAGCCUAUACCUGGUGUAUACAAAGUUCUAGCUUGUUCUGCCAAUGUCAGCUGUGGCAGACGCUUCAAGAGAAGAGCUGCUGGGCUAACACAUCAAGUCAGAAGACACAUUCAAAAAUAGAAAGCUCUACCCUUGAACUAUGAACUCUGCGGAGGUUUAAAGCCUUUCAAUCUGGAAUCUUGAAGUAUGGACUAGAAAAAUGUGAACACUAGAAACCAGUUACUCUGUGUGCUUUCAGGAUGAGCUCAAGGUUUCUAACGGUGUUAACCUGAGCUUGUGUAGAACAAGGCUAAAGAAGGAAGCGAGAGGGCUAGAAAGAAGCUGAAAGUCACAGAGGCGGGUCCUCAGCAGUGGAGUGGACUUUCAUCUCUGCACUGUGGCUGGCCUGGCUGAAACCACCCACGUCCCUCCUAACGGCAGGCACUAGAUGAGGAAUUGCAAUGCCAAAGGACAGAACUACGGGGGACAGGAUAUCCGCCAGCGGGAUCUCUGUGCCUGGAACAGAACAAGAUGAAGAUGUUUUUGUAUCUUGGACUUUGCAGAACAUACAGUUUGUUCUCUGCUCAAAAGAAACACUGUUACUAUAGAUUGCUAUUUUGUAUAGGGCACAUUAAAUCAAAGUGGUAAAGUGAGGUUUUCCUAUUGGUUCAUUCUAUCUGAUACACUUAAACAGAGAACAGAGAGAGAGAGAGAGACAGUUCAGCACACAGCAAGAUUUUCAGGUCUCCCAAGUGCAACAAUACACAAGAAGCAUGACUGAUUGGCUACAGGACUGCUCAGUGGAAAACCAUGUGCUUUAGUUUGUAUGCAGGAGGCCAUGGGAUGAUUCCUAGCACAAAGACAAUUCAAGCCUGUAACAGGAGACUGAGACAGAAGGACCUUUGAAUUUACAGGCUAGUUUGGGCUACAUAGUGAUACUGUCACAAGACCAAAAUAGAAAAAGAAACCUGACUAAUUGCACUCAUAGAUCCUAAAAUCUAAAAUGCGCUAGUAGCAAACUAGACUGUAUGCUGUAACAGCCAAUACAAGCAAAUCAGUAUCAAUAAGUGACCAGAGAUGAAGGACAGGGAUUUGCAGGUGACUUGACUUCCUUUCGCUUUUUCUGUAGUGAGUGUCACUAGCAUUACCUGGAUGCAGUGAUUAUCAAAGUUUCAGACUGCUGGAGUCAGCUUAACAGACAGUUGUGCUAAUAAUUCCAGGUGGAACAUUUUACAAGUUAGGCAAAUAAUGUAGUGUAUACUUGGUCCCAAGUCCAUUCCCCAAACCAGAGAUUUGGUUUCAACUUGUAGGGCUUCCAGCUCCAGUCCCACUGUAGUGUGUCCCGCUCACCUGCAGACCCCUCUUUCUGACACAGUUUCACUAUAUAGCCCUGGCCUGCCCCAAAUUUACCAUCCUCUUUCUUUAGCUUCCCAAGUGCUGGGAUUAUGGUGUGCCUUAUACCAUAUCUGAUUCUAGUCUUUCUUUUCCUUCUUCUUCUUCUAACUACUGUCAGCACAUUUCAGUUUUGCAUUUCUGCAUGUGACAAAGCUUAAGAGUUCUCAAGUGGUUCCCAUCUGCUUCUAUAAGAAUCCACCAAGUGAAUCAGUUGUUCUUUUAGAAUUCUAACAGUUUGACAAGAUAGACCUUGACCUUGGUGUGCUGAUAGCUGUUCCUGAGAAAGCUGCGUAUAAGAAUGUAGUGAUGUGAGGGCUGGAGAAAUGGCUCAGUGGUUAACCUCACUGGCUACUGCCGCAGAGGACUUGGGCUCUGUUCCCAGCACUCACGUGGCAGCUCACAACCAUCUGUAACUCCAGUUCCAGGGCAUCUGGUGUCCUCCUCUGAUCUCUCUAGGCAUCAGGCACACACAUGCAGGCAAAAUAUUCAUAUGUAUAAGUAACAGUGAUGCACAUAAAUAAACCUUUAAGAGUGGUAUUUCAAAAAUAAAAUGACAUUUAUUGUUUUCUCAAUAGGCUCAAGUAAUCCUGUACCUUAGGCUCCUGUAGUUUAAACUACAGGAGGGCAUGCCACAGCUGCUUAGAUUAUGGUGUUCUUAAUGCUGUCUCUAACCUAAAUUCCCAAUUAGAAGGGCAUGUGGAGAAAUAUGAAUAAGACAAUGUGAUGUGACAAGGUAGAGAAGACUACCACGAGUACAGAGGAUGUUUCAGGCUGCGGUAUCUACUUCCACCUACUUACAAGAAGGAGCUUACCAACAGAUUAUGCAACCCCUCAUCAACUGCAAGAUGAUUUUGUAUCUUUUGUACUCUAGUAGACUAAAAAAAAAAAAAAGGAAGGGAGAGAAGGCAAACAGCAUAUAAAACAAAAUGACAAGAUGACAAACAAGUCUGCCACAUCUGGGUGUUGUCAUACUUGUUUAAAAUUUAUAGCUUAAUGUUAAGGUAACUCUGAGGGUUUACAUGAGAGUACAUAGUCUGCCAGGCAUGGCAGCUCAUACACUCAGCUCCAGAACUCAGGAGGCAAGAACAGGCAGAUCUCUGAGUGUACAAGGCUAAAGCUACAUAGUAAAAUACUGUCUUAAAGAGGAGAGGGAGAGAGAGAGAGAGAGAGAGAGAGAGAGAGAGAGAGAGAGAGAGAGAGAGAGAGAGCAUAACGUUCAGACAAUGAAUGUACACCAAGAAAAAAAAAAUUUAACUACCUAUCCAGCAACACAACUAGUGCAGCAACAUUGGAAAGCAGCCUACUGCAGCAGGAGAAGCCUGCCACCUGCUGACAGAAGGCUGCAUCACGUAGUCGUUCCUGACUGAUGGGGGUGUGUAUUAGUCAGGCUUCUCUAGAGUCACAGAACUUAUGGAAUGUCUCUAUAUUGAGGGAAUUUAUUGUGAUGAUUUACAGUCUGUAGU